rnacentral:piRNA from 1 species
AUGGCUGACAAACAAAAGGGGUUCCCCAUGGU